GAUGAACGCUGGCGGCGUGCUUAACACAUGCAAGUCGAACGGAGUUCUUUGGAUAGAGGUUUCGGCCAAUUGAAAAAGAACUUAGUGGCGGACGGGUGAGUAACGCGUGAGGAACCUGCCUUGGAGUGGGGAAUAACACAGUGAAAAUUGUGCUAAUACCGCAUAAUGCAGUUGAGUCGCAUGGCUCUGACUGCCAAAGAUUUAUCGCUCUAAGAUGGCCUCGCGUCUGAUUAGCUAGUUGGUAGGGUAACGGCCUACCAAGGCGACGAUCAGUAGCCGGACUGAGAGGUUGGCCGGCCACAUUGGGACUGAGACACGGCCCAGACUCCUACGGGAGGCAGCAGUGGGGAAUAUUGGGCAAUGGGCGCAAGCCUGACCCAGCAACGCCGCGUGAAGGAAGAAGGCUUUCGGGUUGUAAACGUUCUUUUAAGUGGGUAAGAGCAGAAGACGGUACCACUUGAAUAAGCCACGGCUAACUACGUGCCAGCAGCCGCGGU
rnacentral:rRNA from 1 species